GAUGAAGAACGUAGUGAAAUGCGAUACGUAAUGUGAAUUGCAAAUUCAGUGAAUCAUCGAAUCUUUGAACGCACAUUGCACCUCUCGGUAUUCCGGGAGGUAUGCCUGUUCGAGCGUCAUUUGUACCCUCAAGCUCUGCUUGGUGUUGGGUGUUUGUUCCGCCUCUGUGUGUGAACUCGCCUCAAAACAAUUGGCAGCCGGCGUACUUGUUUCGGAGCGCAGCACAUUUUGCGAUCCAGAUCAACGUACAGCGGCAUCCAAGAAGCCUUAUUUAACGCUCUUGACCUCGGAUCAGGUAGGGAUACCCGCUGAACUUAAGCAUAUCAAUAAGCGGAGGA
rnacentral:misc_RNA from 1 species